CUCCGCCAGCAGCCAUGCUCUCCACCCUCCUCACGGGGAAAGGCUGCUCUUUACUGGCCAGCCCUCUGGAAAUGUCCCUCUGAGUCACUCUUAACAAGACAGGAGAAAGCAGUUUCCUGCUUUCACGCCUUCCCUUUUUUCUUUUCUCUCUUCCUUCCUUCUUCCAUUCCUCUUCCUUCCCUCCCUCUUGACCUUCCUCUCUCCCUCCCUUCUUUCCUUCCUUCCUGUGGCUCUCCUUUGUGAGUGACCUACCUCCGCUUCCUACUCUGUGACUUUGCACUUUCAAUCAUUGCCUGGCUCCACCAGCAGUAUAUAAGGUGAAAGAGGAUCCUGCCAGCUGUUCUAGGCCCAGAGGACACCUCUCUCUCUCUGUCACACAGACACACACACACACACACACACUCUCUCUCUCUCACACACACACACCCACUCAUUGAUGGGGUAAUAGGAUCAAGAGGUAGCUUUGCAUCAUCAAAAAGAAGUCAGUCAUUCUAGCCUGGAGCUUUAGAAGACGAAGUAAAAAAGAAGUCAGACAAUCCUAGCUUUGAAUCCUGGCCCAGCCACUUACUAGGUGGGAGACCUUGGAUGAGGAAACUGAGGCUGAAACAGGCAAUUAAUUUGUGCAGGUGGCACGUUUACUACAUGGUGGAACCAGGAUCUGAACUCAAAUUUGUCUGUGAAUGUUUUCAGAAUAUUCACCUACAUGUUGCCCAAAGUCAAGGCUGCCCUGGGGCAGUGUGUAUACCUGAAUGACAAUCAGUACAGGCACUGAGGGAAGGGAGAACCGAUGCUGGAGAGGCAAGCAUAACUGCCACUGUUAACUUUGUGACCAAACUUCAUGUCUUGUGGCCUAAAGGACAAUCGUAUCCCUUCUGGGGGAAUUUCCCCACCUCCAUGUUGAAGCCAAGGAUGACUAGUACUCCAUGGAAAAGAGGUCAACAUGAUAACCAGGAGAUGUGGUCAUGGGGCAUUAAAAGGUUCGAAGCUGUUCCAGAAAGGAUGUCAUUGAUGUGGAAUACAGGAGCGAGUCCAGCGGAUUCGUGGAAAUGGAUGGAGGCUGCUGAGUUGAGAGACUGAGAAGUGGAGGUACCUAGGAAGGUCCUCCCUGAAAAUACAUCGGGUUGUAAAACCUGGAAAGAAAUACCUCCAUUUGUCAGGCACUCACAGGGCGCUCUCCUCUGGCAGCUCCCAUGUUGAGCGCCCAGGGCAGCGACCAGACCGCGUCCUGUCCUCCUGCACGGGGCCAGCACUGGAUGGUCCCGCGACACAUCGUGUCUGCAGCUUUAGAGGCCUCCCCAGGAGUGCUACCGCGGUCAUUUCUGCCCAGCAGUAAAAUAACACCCAAUCAGCGAGCCACCAGCUGCAAACUGUUCCGACCUACUCCUCCCUCCCCGGCUUAAUUCCCACCUAUACCAAAGUGGCCCCACGCGGGCAGAAGCAAAAGACGGAAAUGAGGGGAGGCCAACUACUCGAGAUCUGCGCCCGAAGCAGAUUUUCCACGCGCUCAGAGCAGGGUCGGGGAAAGGCCCACUUGGGGCUUCUGAGAGAGAGGGAAGGGCAGGGAAAGGGCUGCCCCCCAGCAAGACACAGUUGGGUGAACAACUGAGUCUUUGCCUCGUUGACAAAGGAGAAUGAGGGACUCGCGCCAGGCUGGCUUGAACUGACUGGAGAAAAGCGACUUCUGUAAUUCAGGGCCCUCCGCGUGCGAAGGAAACUUUGGCAAAGCAGAAAGACAGGCAUGCAGUCUCCAGGCGGAAAAACGUGAACCAUGGGACAUGAUGGGCUCCAGAGCCGUGGAUGCAGUUGCCCGAGGCCCCAGGGCCGCCCCCGGAAGGCCGGGACUGCCAGGGACGCGGCGUGGGGGUGCUGACUGCCGCUCCAGGCCUCGGGGUUCAAGCGCUCCAGCAGCAUCCGCUCACCACGCUCCCCGCCCACUUCCAUGAUCACGAGGGGGCAAGGCUAGCCAAUCCGGGGUGGCCACUGCCCGGCCCUGCGAGGACUCGAGGAGCACUGGGAAACUGCGCGGUGCCUAGAGGUACAAAGAACAGGUCCUGGGAGGGUAGUAGGAGGGGACUUAGCACAGCCUAUGUCAGUUUGUCAACAAGGAUUUGCUGAGAAGUCGCACUGUGCUCAGCAUAGCGGCACUGCCUACCUAAUGGGCUUUGGGGCAUAGACAGUGAAUAACCUGGCAGUGAUAAUAGUGUGCUGAAAGAAAGGCCAGCCCCAACAGCCACUACAGGAACCUCAGAAAGGAGGGGGCGUCCCUGUUAGUGGCUGAUACUGGAUUUCUCAUUGUGUUCGUGGCUGGCGCCAAGCCAGAGAUCAUAAUGUAGAACAAAUAAAUGUGAAGUUUCUUACAUCCAAGUGGCCAGGGAAAACCUAUACUAAUUACAUGGUACAAACCCGCUGUGAUCAGGUGCUAAAUUGGGUGGCAGUCAGAGUACAGCUGUAGAGAUACCUCUGAGGGCCAGAGUGAUCAGGAAAAGCUUUGUGGAAGAGGAAGAACUGGAGUUAGGUGCUGAAUGACGGGCAGGAUAUGGACAAGCAGAGGAAAGUGGGAAGGCGCUCCAGGAGGGAAGGGGCAGCAUAGCCAAAGCCCGGGGGAUGAGCAUGGUGGGUUUAUGGGGUUUUAGAGGGAUUAGCCUGUUUGGACUGUAGCAGGUGCUCUGAAGAGCAUGGGACAGAAGAGGGCACAGGCAGCUGGAGUGUAGAGAUAGGGGCUAAUUGCAGAAUCCCACAGUGCCUAGGAAGGUCUCAGCUGUCAGGGUCUUCUCCUGAGACUCAUUCUCAGCUCCUUUUGGGGUUUAGGAAAGAUCUUUCAUGAGAGUUCCAAACAUUUUAGUUAAUGUUUAAUUCCUUCUCACUGAAUCCCCAUGGAAGGGGGCAAAAAGCAAGUGCUACUCCUCCGAGGUACUAAAACCCUGGUGCUGAGGAUGAGGCUGCUCCAGAGGGACCUCUGAGAGAGAGAGAGAGAGAUGGUAUCUUAUGAGUUGCAUAAGUCUUUUAGGCAAGAAAGCAGGAGGAGAUACUGAAGGGACCCCCUGAGGAAGCAGAAAAGCUUUACCUUCUCCUCUGCAAGAGGCAUCAGGAUUCCCUUUGAAAACAGAGCAGAGGACGGCGCAGAAAAAUUCAAGAAUGUUUGCUCUCACCACUUCUAUUUAGCUUUAUACAGGAGAUCCUAGCCAGUGCAAAAGGGCAAGAAAAGACAUUAAAGACAUGCAGACUGAAGCAGGAAGAAGUAAAACUGUCCUUAUUACAGGUGGCAUGAUUUUGUAUGUAGAAAAGCCUAAGAAAUCUACAAAAAUCUACUAGAAUGAAUAAGCAAACUUAGUAAGGUUGCAGGAUACACUAUAACAAACUGUCCAAAAAUGAAGUUAAGAAAACAAUUCCACUCAUAAUAGCAUAAAAAGAAUAAAAUACUUAGGAAUAAUUUUAACAAAACAAAUGUAAGACCUAUGUACUGAAAACCUUAAAACAUUGCUGAGAAAAUUCUAAAGAGAUCUAAACAAAUGGAAAGACACACAAUGUUCAUGGAUCAGAAGAUUCAAUAUUGUUAAGAUAGUAAUUGUCCCCAAAUUAAACUAUAGUUUCAGCUCAAUCCAUAUCAAAAUAGGUUGUUUUUUGUAGGACUUGACAAGCUGAUACUAAAAUUUAUAUGAAAAUGCAAAGGAUCUAGAGAAAUCAAAACAACUUUGAAAAAGAACAAAGUUGGAGGAUUUAAAAAAUAAAGCUACAGUGAUCAAAACAGUGUGGUAUUGACUUAAAGAUAGGCAUACAUCCAUAGAACAGAGCAUAUUCCAGAAAUAAACUCUUACAUUUAUGGUCUAUUGAUUUUUGACAAGGGUGUCAAGGUAAUUCAAUAGUCAUCCAUAAAUGAUGCUGGAGCAAUGGAUAUUCCUGUGCAAAAAAAAAAAAAAAACUUACAUUCUUACCUCACAAAAACCAUAUGCAAAAAUUAACUAAAAAUGAAUCACAGCCUAAAUAUAAGAGUUAAACUAUAAAAUUCCUAGAAGAAAUCAUAGGAGAAACAUGGAUUAGGACAAAGGCUUCUUAGAUGUGAUACCAAAAAUGUGAUCCUUAAAAAAAUUAAUAAAUUCAACUUUAUCAAAAUUUAAAACUUUUGUUUUUCAGAAGAUACCAUUGAGAAAAUGGAAAGGCAAGCCGCAGACUUGAAUAAAAUAUUUGCAAAUCAUAUACCUGAUAAGGUAUUUAUAUUCAGAAAUAUAAAGAAUUCAAUAAGACAAACUGAUUUUUUUAAUGAGCAAGAUUUGAAUAUAUAUUGCACCAAAGCAGACAUAUGAAUGGUGAAUAAGCAUAUAAAAAGAUGUUCAACAUCAUUACUCAUUAGAGAAAUUCAAAUUAAAACUAUAAUGAACUAUUAAUACCCGCUGACAAUAUCAAGUGUCAGCAAGGAUGUGGCAAAAUUGAAACCAUAGAAUGGUACAGCUAAUUUAGAUAAUUGUUUGGAAGUUUCUCAAAAUGUUAAAUAUAUUUGCUAUAUGACCCAGCAAUUAAACUCCUAAAUAUCUACCCAAGAGAAAUGAAGACACAGAUUCACAUAAAGACUUAUAUGCAAAUGUUCAUAGCCAUGUUAUACAUACUAGCCCAAGCUGGAAAUAAUCCAAAUGUCCUUUAGCUGGUGUAUAAACAAAAUGUGGUAUAUUCAUACAAUGGACUACUACUUGGCAAUAAAAAGGAAUGAACUACGGAUACAUGCAACAAUAUGGAUGAAUUUCAAAAACAUGCUAAGUAGAAAAAGUCAGAUAAAAAAUGUUUUGUAUAAUUUCACUUAUGUGAAAUUUCUAGAAAAGGCAAAAUAUAGAAGUAUUCUAAAGUUGAAUUAUUAUUAUAAUUGUGAUUAUUGUACAAGAGUAUAAAUUUACUUAAAAUCAAACAGUACCCUUAUAAUAGGUAAAUUUUAUGGUAUAUAAAUUAUACUUCAAUAAAGCUGUUAAAACAAAGGACAGAGAGACUGCUAGAUAGGUCCUUGGGGAGAGGGUGGGGUGUGUGUGUGUGUUUGUGUGUAUGUGUGUGUGUGUGGUUAUAGGAGGGCAGAAAACACCUAUGGGAGAUAGUAAUGAAUUUAAGUGCAAUGAAAAAACAUAGGGGCUCUGGAGCCAGCAUGCUAGGUUUGAAUCUUGGUUCUACUACUUACUAUAUGAACUUGAGACAAAUUACUUACCCUCUUCAAGCCUCAGUUUUUCCCUCUGAAAUGAGGCUAAUGGUAAAUCUCAAGGUAGUUGUACCACUAAAAAUAAUAUAUAUAUUGGCUGGGUGCAGUGGCUCAUGCCUGUAAUCCCAGCACUUUGGGAGACCUAGGUAGGAGGAUUGCUUGAGGCCAGGAAUUGAAGACCAGCCUGGGCCACAUAGCAAGACCCUGACUCUAGAAAAAAUAAAAAAUUAGCCAGGCAUGGUGGCAUCUAUAGUUCUAGCUAUUUAGGAUGCUGAGGUGGGAGGAUCAGUUGACAGGAGUUUGAGGCUGCAGUGAACUAUGAUUGCGCCACUGCACUCCAGCCUGGGUGACAGAGCAAGACCUUGUCUCUAAGAAAAAAGAAAAAAAAAGAAUUAAAAAUAUAAAAAUAAUGUAUAUUGAAGGUAAUGUAUGGGAUGUGAGGGAAAAUUCUGAAACCAAUUACUUCUACAGAAAAUUCAGAGCUUUGUUGUAACUGAAGAAUUGUGGGUUCUCUGGGUAUAUUAUAGCAGAAUUAUAAGCCUCUCACUGAACUGAAUAAGCGGCCUUAUUAGUGAAGAAGGCUGGGACCGUGGCCAAAAGCCUUGGUUUCCAGUACUGGUUCUGCUACCAUUACACCAUGUGACUAUAAAAGGGUUCCAUAUCUAGGGGUUCCUAGAUACGUCCCCCUCCCAAAAGGGGUUGUUGGGAUGCUUCUGAAGUCAGAGCUUAUUACCAACAUAAAAAAAUGCUGGGUAUAAGGUAAUGAUGGCACAGAGGACAGGGUGGUGGCUGGGGCCCAGCGUGAGAGAUCAACAUCUCUGUGCCUGUGAACUGGGAUAUGAGAAGAGUAGCUUAGCAGGGGGCCAUGGAAAUUUUCACAAACCAAAAUUGGCAUUUGGAGCUGAGCUGGAAAGUUGUGAACACAGGAUGUUGCUGAAAAUGGUGCCCAACAGCGCUGCUACCUGAGGUUUUGGCAGGCUUCACCCCCUGCUAGUUGAUUGCAGAAGGAUGUUGGGUCAUCAGGAAAUAGGGGUUUGAAAUGAUCCCACAGGAAGGUGUGAACAAAAACAGAAGCAACAACAAAAAAAACAGCCUAGUCAGGUUAGCUGGGGGGCGGGUGGGUGUUGGAUGGGAGACAAGUGAGUUCUCACUUUCUUCAACACUUUAGAAACUUCUAAGGAGGAGCCCUGCUGGCAUUCAAGGAUGGCACUGUGAUAGAUCCCCAUUUAUCCCUCCAUCCUCCAUGAACACCUCCUGGGGGUGGACAGGGAGAGCAGCAGCUUGCCAGGGGGACUCAUUUCUGGUUCAGGAUGUUGGAAGUCUCCAUGUAGCAGUUUGUAGUGGACACUGCUAUUUUUUUGGAUACCUAGCACACACUCCCACUUUUUUCUGGUGAGAUCACUUGGAUUAUUUGGGGGGAAUUUCUUCUUCCCCAUUACAUACAGUCUUGGUGGGCUGUCAAUAAGGCAUUCUGCCCUCGUUUAGCCAAUUAAAUUCUCUCUCUCUGAAUUGAGCUGAGUGGUGAGAAAGAAUGGAAAAAAACCUGUUGGAGAAGACCUAAUUCCAUGGACCUCACUCAACCUUUACUCACUCCUGCUCCUGAAAUCUCAGCUCAGCUCUGCCCCAGUUUCUUAACUGUUCUUCCAUUCUGUGAACCCCUGAUAUCAUCCAUUAAACUGUUUUGCUUAAGUUAGCUGUGGCCCAUUUCUGUUACAAAGAACAAACAACAUGACUGUGACACUGCAUGGGAGAGUUUUCAUGAGGGACUUGCAGGGGAAUCAAAGGAGCCUGGCUUCAGGUACCCACUUUCAGUCUUCUGAUUUUUCAACUUUCUAGCCAUGUGACCACAGGCAAGUCACUAUAUCCCUCUGAGCCUCAACUUCUGUAAAGUUGAGAUAUUGUUACUUUGCAGCACUGUCAGGAUUAAAUGUGUUUAUUCAGUUAUUCAUGUAAUACUUACCCAGCCGCCACCAUUUGCCUGGAACUCUCUGAGGAACCAGAAUAGAGAUGUAAAUAAGACAGACAUUGUAUAGUCUCUGUCUCCAUGGAGCAUACAUUCUAACAGGAAGAGAGAUGUUGAAUAUGUUUACAACACUGAUGAUGUUAAAAUUGAAGUUCAAGGCACUGUGGGAGUGGUUAACAAGAGGACCCAGGAAAUCUAGUAGAGGGCCACGUAUGGAAGACCCUUAAAAACUGUGACUUCCUUUCCACCUUCCUUCUCCUGACUGUUUUCUUCUUCAUCAUACCACUUUACAUUUUGCAUGCAUGUUUUCUUUGCCAUUUAUGGCCCACUCAUAUCCACUUCUUGUAGUAGAAUUAGGAUACUCCAAAGAAGUCCUGAAUUGAUUCAGUGAUUGACAUCUGCCUGUUGUGUUUGAAGCAUAAAUUGGAACCUACUCACCCCAAUAGAUAAGCCAACUUGGUGGGGGUUCCUUGUGUUGGGCAUAAGGAAAGAACAAGGUUAAGAGGAUGGGGAAAGAAUAGAGAAACUUUAAUACCUUUAGAAUUAAUUGUUUCUUAGGUUAACAAGGUUUAGUAAGAGUCAAGAUGAAAGAGGUUGCCUGCCUAAACUUGAUAUUGACAAAACAAGGGUAGGCAAUUUACUUGAUCUGCUAGGUAGCUCUAGGUACCUUUCUAGCAUUACAAAAUCUCAGAAAUUAUUUACAGAAUUUCAGCACUAGAAAAGAUCUUAGAGAACAUUCAGAAAGGGUUUUAUUUAGUAUGAGGAAACCAUGGCUCACUAGAGCUAAGUCUCAUCCAUGUCCUCAGUGUGUAAGCUUAUGACAUCUUUAGACCCCAGGCUGGCAGUCAGAAUGCCCACAGUGGUUCCUCUCUCAUGUGGACAAAUUCUGGUAGAUAUGCCCCUGAGAAAUAGCCUGUGCUAGCCUUGUGAAGGAACUUGGCAAGGACCAGAGGAAUGAGGCACUGCACUAGGUAUGAGGGAGGGACAAAGACAAUAAGAUGAAAGUCCUUUGAGGUUCUUCUGACAGUCUGGGGAGUCGAGACACAUACAAUGCCAGGUAAUCACACAAGCAACAUUACACGAGAACCACUGUUGGACAUGGUCGCAUCAACAUCUCUGAAGCACAGCUCAUCAUUUCUGCCCACUUACCUCUUAAGUCUCCUGUUAGAGAUGUCGUCUUCUCAGACACCUGUAUCUAUUAAUAGCAGCACUAUCCUACAGUUACAAAGGCUUGAAAUAUUGAAGUUGGUUUUUAUUCCUAUCUUUCCCUCAACCCCACAUCCAGUAUUUACUCGGAUCUGUUGAUCUGGUCCUUAAAGCUACCCCAUCCUGUCCAAAGACACCAAAGUAGUAUUCCUAAUGUACAGCUCUUAUAUUAUUCCUCUGCUCAGAAUCCUUCAGGGUGUACAGAACGUUAUUUGCAGAAUGAAAACCAAACUCCUUAGUUUAACAUUUGUGGUCCCUUAUGGUCUAGACUCAGCUUCCAUUUCCUCCUUCUAGUCUGCUGCUUUCCUACAGGGAUAUAUUAACCAUGUUAUUUAUUUUUUGUAUUUUAAUGCUUUGACAUCUGGGGCCUUGCAGACCCCGGAGUUGCUGCCCCUUCCAGGGCUAGCCAAUUCCUAGAGACUGUAAACAACUUGCCCUUGAGCAUACCUUUCAAAGGCAAACCACCCAAUCCAGAGCCCACACCUGCAAAUACCUUCUCUAUUGGGCUGUCAUACUUAGGACCAUAAUCCCCUGCCCUAAUCACUCCAGGGCCAGUUACCAGACAACUAAGAGUAGUCCCUGUGCCCCUGAACUAGCUGAAAUUAUUCAAACUAGUCAAUCCUUAAUCUGCUUAAUCUGCCUUGCCCAUUCUUUCCCAUGGAAACCACCAUAAAGGCUCUUGCUCAUGUUUUCUCCUUUCCUUCCGCCUCCUGACAGACUCUGGUGCUUCCCCGAGUGGCCCCCUGUGGUGUGGCAUGUCCGCUUCUCUUGGCAUCUGUGAGUAUAACUAUCUUUUUGAUAACAGUCAUCUAGUCUGCUGGCCUUGCUGCACCUAAAUAAUAAUAAUAAAACCAUUAACUACAUUUUAAAACAAGAAACCCUAUGCUCCAGAGGGGUUCCUUCUGCUUCCCAAACAGGUCCCUGCUUUCCUAUGCCCAUGUCUUUUCCUGUGCCUUUCCUCGUUCCCAGAAUAAACUUUCUCUGCCACAUCUGCAUCUUACAAUUCUAUCCAUCUUUCAAUAUAUUCUUGCUGGCAUUGUCUUGAAUCUCUGGUGACAAUAUAGACUUAAAGAUGAGAGUGUGAGGUUCAGAUUGGUUUGUGACUUAUACUAUAUCACACAGCAAGUUGAAGGCGGCAUCAGGCUCGAAGCCCAGCAGGCUUUCUUUGUGCCCCUUCCAAUCAUUCUAUUGGCUUAGGUCAACUGAGUGUGUGCAACAGAAAUGGAUCUUGGUUAACUUGAGAACAAAAGGGAUUUUCCAGAAAGAUGCUGGGGCAGCUCAAAGGAUUUAAGGAGGAGCAGAAAGACCAGAUCUCAGGUGAAGUGGGAACAAGGGCAGCCCUAGUGAUAAGCCUUUGAAUCUUCCCUCAGGAUCCAAGUCUUUACUAGAACUCAGCUCAAACCCACUCCCUUAAGGUUUUAAAUAUCUGAAAGUGACAAUUUGAGGGACCCAUCCUGUUAGGUAUAUCCCCUGGAUCAAUCAGCUAUGGUAGGAUGUGUUUGGGAGACAAGGUAGGGUCUCAGAACACUGAUGUGAUCAGUGGGGACCACUACUUUGUAUUAAGAGUUUCCCAAAGAAAAUGCAACCAUUGAGACCUGCCAAUAUGAAUCCCUUGCAGUCAUCUUUCUAAUAUAUUAAAUCCUAAGUCCUUCUAAAUAAAAUGGAGCAGUGGAAGGGUUAGAUAAAAACAGCUCCAAAGCAAAGCAACUUUAAUAUUUCAAUAAAUAGUCACUGAAUGCUAACUCUGUGCAUUCAAAGGACUUAUGCUAGACAUUGGGUGGGUAAAGGGAUAAGAAAAUCGGUAAGACCUGGCAGCUGCUCAAAGAUAAGACAGGCAUACAAAUCAUGACACUGAGAGGCAGGAUAAAGGAAAUGAUGCUCCACAACAGAUACAAAGUGCUAUAAGGUUUUACAGCAUGGAGAGAUUCUCUAAAAUUUAUAUCCAGAGGAAAACCAAAAAGCUAAAGUCCAGAUUUUCCUUCUUAUUGCAACUUCAUCAUAUGCUGGAAAAACUAUACAUGACUUCACAUGCAAAGGAACACAAUGUUCUUAUUUCCACCUACUGCAGUCCAGCUGCCAAUUCAAAUGUCUGCCACCUCUUAAUUGUGCAAUUAGGGAAGCAUUAAGUUCAGUGGACUCAAGUGCCACUGCUAAGCUCCUGCUUGGAUGGAUUGCAUAAACAUGGUAUCUGGGAAGGAAAAAAGGAAUUGCUAGAGGAGUCUUGCCUAUGCUUCUAUGAAGAUUUCAGAUGCUGGUUCCAUCAGGUAAAAACUUCUGAAAAUCUGUGAGCAUGGCAGAGAGAAAGUACUCUAGAAUUCUUGCUGAUAGGGUUAAGGAUGGAGUUCUUGGGUGAUAACAUUGCUAUGCAAGGAGAGUUUGCUGCAACAUUUUAUAACUCAAGAGCUGCUGGCCCAAGGCUAUGCUGUUGCAAAAUAUUUGGAUCCAUCUCACAUUGUGGUGAUGAGAGUGAGAAGAAGAAUUUAAAUAUCUUAGUCUCACUGGGCUUAUUAAAACAACUUUGGUUUAUUGAGAGCACCAAGGUGCACCUCAUGCCCUCUCAAGGUCAGGGAAGAUGAGCUCAGGAUAUGAUGUAGGGGAAGGGGAAUGCACUAGCUUCUUCAUUGACUACCCAGUGGUUACCAGAGGCAUAGGAGGAGGCAGAGGCAAAAAGGCUGUAGAGAAAGGGAAGGCUGGAGAAGCAAGUGGGCAAGGAAAUUAAGGAGGGAGGAUGGUGUAUGUUUGAGAGCAGAGCGAAAGGGAAAGGAAAGACCCUGGAGUUGUUUAACACUGUUUUCACUGUUGAAGUUGGGGAGAAUGAGUAAAACAGAACCGGUCUCAUCUUUAGCAUUACAGAGUGAGGACAAAAUCAGUUGAGUGAAGGAGAAAAUGAGCCAGUUAGUUAAUAUUUCUGUAGGCCCACUAGGCAUCAGGCACUGCUGCAUUUCCUUCUUGAGAACUUAGGAACCGAGAAGCCUCCAGCAUUUGUACUUGGAAAAUUUACAAAGACAUAUCAGACAUCUGCGUGUCCUUAAUAUAUACUAUAGGCUUGCCUAGAAUUUAGAAUUCUAGAUUUUAGUUUUCUUUUAGCCCAGUAUUCAGUCUCCACUGUUUGGUCAGAGGGCUUAGACCCCUUUUGUUUAGAGGUUGAACAUUCGCAUACACAGAUGGGAUGCCCUCAGCCUUAAGGCUAUAAUCAAUAUUGGGAGAGUUGGGAUGGGCAGCAGUGCACUUAGCUAGGGCCUCAUAGUCACUAAAGGCAGGGCCUCAAAUAUAGACUCCUAACAUUUAUCUCAAAAUGAGGUUGUAUUAGGUUGAACUACAUGACAUUAUUGAUUUUCUAGGUUAAAAAAAGAUCGAAUAUCAACAAUUUCAUGUGGCUCAACUUAAUACCUAAAUUCAUUGUAAAUUAUGUAUGUG